UACGUAGGGGGCAAGCGUUGUCCGGAUUUAUUGGGCGUAAAGAGCGUGUAGGCGGCCUGAAAGGUCAGCUGUGAAAACUCGAGGCUCAACCUCGAGACGUCGGUUGAAACCAUCUGGCUAGAGUCCGGAAGAGGAGUGUGGAAGUUCCCGGUGUAGCGGUGGAAAUGACGCAGAGUAUCGGGAAGAACACCCGUGGCGAAGGCGGCACUCUGGGACGGUACUGACGCUGAGACGCGAAAGCGUGGGAGCGAACAGG
rnacentral:rRNA from 1 species